rnacentral:rRNA from 1 species
ACUCAAAUGAAUAGACGGGGGACCGCACAAGCAGCGGAGCGUGUGGUUUAAUUCGAGGCUACACGAAGAACCUUACCUAGGUUUGACAUCUUACUGAAGUUCUCAUGAAAGUGGGAAUGUCUCGCAAGAGACAGUAGGACAGGUGCUGCAUGGCUGUCGUCAGCUCGUGCCGUGAGGUGUUCGGUUAAGUCCGCAAACGAGCGCAACCCUCGGUGCCAGUUACAAGUGUCUGGCGCGACUGCCCGUGGCAAACGGGAGGAAGGUGGGGAUGACGUCAAGUCAGCAUGGCCUUUAUAUCUAGGGCUACACACACGCUACAAUGGCGCGUACAAUGGGUCGCGAAGCCGCGAGGCGGAGCCAAUCCUAAAAAGCGCGUCUCAGUUCAGAUCGUAGGCUGCAACCCGCCUGCGUGAAGUUGGAGUUGCUAGUAACCGCGCGUCAGCAGAGUGCGGUGAAUACGUUCCCGGUCCUUGUACACACCGCCCGU